UGUGCACUAGCUAUGUGUCUGGUGUCCAGUGAGGCCUCGGGUCCUCUCGGACCACACCCAGUGCUAAUUUUUAAAGAGGUGGGAAGUUGGAGAGAUGGCUCGGCAGCUACAGUUGCUCUUACAGAUGAUCCAGGCUGGGGAAGCCCCCACGCGCUGGACCUCGCCCACAACCCAGCAGCAGGGUGAGGCCAGGGCUCCUCUCAGACCUUUGCUGUCUCAACCUUCCAGAUGAGCUUGCAGCACA